rnacentral:lncRNA from 1 species
UCAUUUCCACAUUCACAUCACCAGUGGACACAUUUUGAAGGUCUCUCAUUUCCUGUUUGAGGAGCGGUUAGAUUUAAUGAGUCAGACUUGCUAAGGGUCAGCUCAUCCAGCACCCUACGCAGGCCAUUGAUGUCGGCCUCUACGCUCUGGCGCAGGGCCACCUCAUUCUCGUAUCUGAAACAAGCAAGAUACAAACACUGAAUAUACAGGAGGAUGACGGAAUACCUGGAUGUAGACUGAUUACAAUGCCAAUACAGAUUUGAUUUCGUGUCAUGGCAACAUUCAUAAUACAUGAAUUCAUGUAGGAAUAUUAAUAUAGUUUGAUAUGAAGAAAGCUGUCACUUUAAAACACAUCUUCUUUAACGAUUACCCAAAAGAUAUAAUGACAAUUAAUUUUUUUUUUUUUUAAAAAAAACAG